UGGUUUCACUAUCCUGGGGUCUCCUAGGUCUAUCUAAACCAUUUCCCGUUCUCUACUUUAUGCUCUGAUACCACUUUAUCUGUCACGCCCCGUGUCCCGCCUAUUUGAUCAGGUUCGGGCACGCCGACAGACCGCCGAACGGACAGAGUUUUUUCUGUACGUCUUAGGCGUCGCAAUCAAUACAAUGUACGAGGUUUCAACCAGGAACACAUUUCAAUCAAAGAUUGCAUAAGAAAGUAUCAAAAACAUAAAAUAACUAAUACUAUUACAAGCAUUCCCAAUACGUGCAUUUUACAUCCCAAUUCUCUUUUAUAUUCAACUUUCAAAUUACAAUCUAAUUAUUACAAAUUAUUACAACUUUGAUACAUCUUGUCCUUUUCAUUUCCUAUACCCCUAAGCUAU
rnacentral:lncRNA from 1 species